rnacentral:lncRNA from 1 species
GAAAACACUGAACAUUUUUUUUGUUUUGUUUUGUUUUAAAUAAUAAUUAAUUUUCACUCACAAAACUGAGUAUACUUAAUUCAGGAAUUCUAACUCAAAUAAAAGCAGGAAAUAUGUCAGCUAAUUAAAAAAAACCGGCAACUUGAACAAUACUUGUCUCUCAGUAAAUAGUAAAGACCAUCACAAAAUAAAAGUGUUCCUGAAAAAUGGAAUGUGACAAAACUGGCACAAAUUUUACAUUUGACAACUAAAGGUAUUUUUAUUAUUCUUAUUUUCUUGCCUUUGAAGUACUUCUUAUAUUGUAUCUGACUCGUUCUACUUCCAGAAUUUUGAGGUUCCACUUGCCUUUGAUCUUUCAGUAGCCAUUCCCAAUAGUUCUUUCAUCCACACCAUCGAGCCGCCCUUGACAUAACACCAUCUUUUAUUCUUAGAAAAGGGAAAAUCUUUUAUUUCAAAGGCUUUGGUGAUUUUCCCUCAUGGGUCACCCUGAAAGUAUUUUUCAUCUUCCUAUGGGUGAGAACCUCUUAUUCCUUGAGCCUCUGGAUGGACUCCUGGGUUCCCUCUCUUCUAAAGUUACCAUUCAGCAAGGAGGAAUCACAGCUAUUCACAUUUCAAUGAUGCUGAUUCCUCUUUUACCUAGAUGGAAUGCUAUUUCUUUCAUUUACACUUUAUCCUUGAAACAAUGACCAAAAAAAAAAAAGGGUAAUAUUUGUUUACGUAAUUGGAUUAACAUCUGAAAAUGGAUUACUUAGGUUUGCUAGGCUUUUAUUAUCUUUUAUUGGAUAGGUAUUUAAAUAUCUCUCUGGUGCUUACACACAACUAGAUUAUUCAGCAUUGGGAGUAAAUUAUGCUUUCUGAUUUCACAAAUGAUAGUGCCUACAUGCACGAUUAUCUGCUUCUCACACACUAAUACAGUGUUUGUGUUAUAUGGGAGAGAUUUCUCUCAAUCUCUUCCCCCUUCCCCUCCUCUCCCUCCCUCCCUUUCUAGUUCUCUCCUAGUCUUUUAAAUAAGGAUUAAGCAGAUGUGCUUAAACUGCGGCUUUAUAUCUACAUGAAAAUUAAGCAGCGACAGGAAGAGAAAGCUGCACAGCUUUCUCCUGUACUGAGAUUUUUCAAUACAUUCUCACUAUUGAGAUCACAGUAAACUGCCAAAACACCUGAUGCGCCCUUUUUUCAACUUAAGCAAAAUAUCAUAAUACAAAAUAAAUACCGAUAGAUCAUAUUUAAGUUACUUACUCUUUUGUUUUAACCAUAAUUCUGUUUUCCCUAUUAAGACUAGUGACCAAGGAUUGUACAUUCGUUGAAUAAUCUGUAGAACUAGAAGCAAUGUAGAAACAAAUCUGAGGCUGAAUAGCCUGGUGUGCAUUGAAGCAUCAUAUGGAGUGCCAGGCACACGAGACACUCAAUGUUACUUCCCUUUCCUGACCCCUUCUUUCUCAACCUUAGUACUGUAUUUAAAAUUAGAACAAGGAAAAUUAAAUUGAACUAUUCCCUUUUAGGAUAUGACAACCAGUAAAUUUUAUGAUAAUAUCAGGAAACACAAAUUAACAAAUUUGCUUAUGUUAAAGACAAGUAUAAGCUAGACUAUACAAUGACAUGAGCUUGUUAAAUGAGAUAACAUUUAUAAAAUGUUAACAGAAGUGCCUGGCACAGAGUAAGCACUAUUUUUUAUUAGCUUUUUCUUAUUAGCUAACCACCAGUAAGUACAAAAUUAAGUAGCUCUAAAAAAAAGUUUUAAGGAAACCUGCCAAGCCUGAGAUCAAAAUUACACACAGAGAUAUACACACACUGACAAAAGGAUUUAUAUCUAUUUAUGUGCAGUUUAAUUUUCACGAUAUUAGAUUCUACCUAAUAUCUGCCACAUUGAUAACAACUACUUUUUAAAUUUCUCAAAGAAAUGGAAGGUUUAAUUUCAGUUUAAAAAUAAACCAGUUAUUUAACCAAUACACACACACACACACACACACACACACACAAUCCCAAUCUGUUCAAGUAUUGUCUUAAACAAUAUUUUAAAAUAUGUAUCAAAACAAAACAUAAGCUACAAAAUGGUUCAACAGAGCAUUACCUUUGCAUGAAAUUUUCAGUUAAAUUUCUAAUUCUUUAGUCUCUCAAUAUAUUCUGUAGUUUUUAUUAAAACAAAUUAUGUUAAGAUGUACCUCUUUCUUUUUCUAAUUGUUAAGCUAGCAAGGGAUAUAUUAGGUAAAGACAUCUAAUUCUUCCAAAUAUUAUAAAUUCCUUAAUAUUACUUUUGUAACAAUAUUAAAGUUAAUAGAGAUAUUUACCAAUUGCAUGUUCACAACCAACCUUUCUAGGGGAGACAUAAAUUCAGAUUUUUAUGUGGAAUUUACUGAAUUCUCACUAUAAUGCCAACCCUUUUCAACAUUCAAAGCAAAGUAUAGUUCUACUUUUUUUCACUGGCUACCUCUUCUCACUAUCUUUUCCUAGCUCCUCCUUGUGUCUCUUCCAAAUAUGAAGUUUCCCAAGGCUCAGAAACCAGUCAUCUGCUACUCUCUACAUGUUUAUUUACACUGUCACAUGCAGUCCCUUAGCUUUAAGCUCCAUCUGAAUGCAAUGACUCCUAUGUUUAUGUCUCCAGUUGAGACCUACUGAAUGGGCCUCAGCCUCUUAUCUCCAACGGAUUUCUUGACCUCUCUACCACCUAAUGAAAAUCAGACAUCAAUAACAGCCCAAACAUAACUCUGGAUUUCUGACCCCCUAAUUUGGCUCUUUCCCAUCCCAGUGCUCAUGGGGAAAAAAAGUCAUUCUCUAAAAUGUCUUUGUCUUUUCCAUGCAGCCACUUCUCUUAAUUCUAUGUCAGUCUUUCCUUUCUUUCCACCUGCACUGCCAACACUUGGUCCAGAUCACCAUCCCCUUUCUCCAUCCUCCCAUUCAGUCUCCUCAUAACUGCUUCCAGGCUUUGCCUUACUUCCAAUCUAUUCUCUUCAUAACAGUCAAAGUGAUCUCUUCAACACAGAAAGAAGAUUAGGUUAUUCUGUACUUAAGAACUUAAAAUGGUUCCUUCCCUUUAUACUUCAGGUAAAAUUCAAGCUCUUUCCAUUUCCAUCAAGGCCCUGUGGGACCUGCCUUCUGCUUAUCUUUCUAGCCUCACCACAACCUGCUCAGUUCUUACUCACCAUACUACAGAUGCCUGACCUUUCUGUGCCUCGAACCUACCAAUUUGUUUGGUUUUGCCAGAUAACCUUUACUCUUGCCAGUCUCCCUCACAUGGAUCCCCAUAUUCUUGUCAGCCAACAGGUAGCUCAAUGAUUCUUCUUCAUAAGGAUCUUCCCCGAUCACUCUGUCUAAAAGUGCAUUCACCCCUAAAUCUGGGUCUGGCCAGAUUAAACUCUACCAUAUUACACUACUUAAUUUUCUUCACAGCAUUUAUCUAUAACUGAAGUUAUCUCAAUUUGUUGUUUGUUUUCUUGUUAUCUCUCACCACUAGGAAGUCAGUUUCAUAAAAGUAGUUACACUUUCUGCUUUCUUUACCACUGUGUCAACACUUAAAACAGUUUUUAGCUUAGCAGGGGCUCUAUAAACAAUUGAUGAAUCGAUGAGUGAAUCAUCUCAUUUAAUAUCUCUUGCUAUUAUUUCCAUUUUACACACGAGGAAACUGAGGCUUUGGAAGGUAAUUCUUCCCCAAUUUUUCAUCAUUGGAAGUCUCCAAUGAUGAAACUGGAAUGGAAUCCGGGCAAGAUUUCAAAGACUGACUUCUUUAAGUACUUUAAAAGUAGCGAUUGUCUGAAUCCAACAUUUGCACUAAAGUUUCUUCAAGUUACUUUUAUCAGCUCCCUGACCUUUUCCUUUUUCUUUGGUUUAUCUGUUUCCUUCAUAUCACCACUUCCUUUCCGUCAAAACUCUCAACUGAUGUCUUAUGCUUCAUUUAUGUUUCCUUAGCCAUUACAUACCUUUAUCAUACCUAAAGCAUCAAUAAGUAAAUUCAGAAAAUAAGAACAUGGGUCAUUGGAAAGUAGAAAUACAUAGAGUUUAGUAAGCAUAGUUAAAAUCUUAUUUUAUAAACCAGACUAUCUGGAAAUCUAAGUCUAAGAAGUCAAAGUAUAAUAUUUGGCCUAAAUUAUAUGAUUGGAAUCCACAUUUAUCAAAUGAACCAAACAAUAAUUUUUUUUUGUUUUGUUUUAGUCUCCUCAAAGUUUAGCCAACUUGUCUCUGGAAUAAAAAGUGUAGGAUGGAUUUACCUGGUUCACUUAAUAUGCUUUUUGGAUGACUAUGAAAAGAUUAUCUAGUGUCUACACUUCCUGGAAUAAGAUGAGAACCUUAUGUGUUUUCCAUGAUCAAAGUGUUUAACAAAGGUCAAGUUACUUCCCUUGCACUUCAAAAACAAAAAAAAAUCUAGAUACUUUGGUGAAUUAUUUAAUGUUUUUCACUUUAUGUAAUAUCAAAAAUGAGUUGGGUGGGGGAAAAUCCAUUCUUUCCAUCAUAUCACUCACCUCAAGACAGACUCAGUCCUGUCCUUUGUUAGCCUCCUUUUCAGGAUGAUUGUAACACAUCACAUCAGUAUUCAUAGUGAAGACAAAUUAAUCAAAGAUGUCUUUUUGUUUUUUAUAAAAGUCAUACAAUCUUAUGUGAAUUUUACAUAGAUACAGAAUAUGCUAAAGAUAUAGAAGCAGCUCAGUGCACAAUGGUUCAUGUAAGUAGCUAAAUCAGGUGAAUGAACUUACAUGCAUAUGUCACACAAACAACCUCUGAGAAAUUACCAGCUCCCAUUCAGUCCUGCUGUGAUUUGCCCAUCAUCACACAGUCAUGUCUUAAAUUCCAGGUUAUUAAACUGACCACUAAGAAGAUUGAGUAACCGAGUGGAAAAUCUAGAAUCUGGUCUAUCUAGAAUCAGAUAGACCCCGAUUAAGACCCCAGCCUUCACCCCACCCCCUACAACUCUCAUUUGCUAUUAGCUGGUGACCUUGGAAAAUUAGAAAGACUACCAAAAAAAAGUAAGAAUUUGUUUGUGUGCUGUGUAUUUCUGUAUGUUUUCCCUUUUCUCUCCACAUAAACAUUUUUUCAGAAUAAAUUACAAAACAAACAAACCAAAACAAAAUAGGACUAUUGUCUAGUACCUCUUCACAUCUACCAACUUUAUUUAUUGAAUAUCUAAUAAUAAUCUACACAACUCAGUGGCAGCACCAGAACUUCCAUAAUUUAAAAGUCUGCAAAGAAAAUCUGGUUGUAACAGGGACCUGGAGGAAGUCUUGUAAGAAUAUAAGUUUUACUUAAUAUGUUAUAUAUAGAUCUUAAGAUAGUGAUUUUUAAAUUUAUAAUUUAUAAAACAUUGAUAACACCAAUAAUUAUCUGUAGCAAGGUAUGUUGUUACUUUGAGGAGGAAGUUUUGGGGUGCUGAUGAAGAUUUUGGAAGAUUUAAAACACCAUCUCCAAGAAGCCACUGAUAGAAAAUACGGGCUUCAUGGGAUAGGUGUCCUCAGCCCAAAUUACAUGGAAAACACUCACAAAAUAGUUGUUUAUCAAAUGAACUAAUAAGUUAAUAAAUAACUGAAUAGAUCUAGUUGUCCUAGUCAAAUGAAAUACUCAAAAAGUUUUUAGAUCCUGAGAACUGGAAACCUGAAAUUCUUAUUUUUCUAUUCAUUUCUAUAUUUUUCAAAUUGUCUAGAAUAAUCAAGGUUUACUUGGGAAAAAAUUGAACAUGAAAUUUCAUACACAGCAUGUGAUCAAAAGAUAGAGGAAGAAAAACAAAAUGUUAGCAUGGGCUCUAAGCAAUUUCUUUUUCCUUCUAUUUCUUGACAUUUUCCAAAUUUUCUAUUAUGUAGAAAUUUUUACCAUAAAUAAUUCCCAUAAAUAACAAUAAAAGGACAGAAUCAAAAUUGUUUUUAAGAAUUAUUAAGUGCCUUCUACAUACAGAGUUGGGUUAAGCUGACAGACCAUUCGUUUGUUCAGCAAACAGGUACUGAGGACCUGCAGGCACUGGCAAAUAAGCAGAGACCCAGUGAUAGCCUACAUGAGCUCACCAGUUGCUGCAAGAGAGCCUGGUAAAGAGAACUCCAAGAGAAUUAUUCAAAGGAUCAUCACAGCAGAAGAAUACCUAUGCAGGUGUGAAAGGGGCUGAAGAGCAAGGGUUAUACAAGUGGGAUAGGGGCUGUCUAGAGGACAUGAUCUUUACAGUAAAUUUGAAUACAAUUUAUAAUUUGCACCAUUGAUAAAAAGAUGUGGAGAGAAGGAAAAACAGCAUGGCCAACAGUAGGAAGACCAAACAAGGUCACAUUUUUAGAAAAAUGCAAGUUACAAAAAGAGUCACAAAGUGGUUAGAGAUAAAGCCAGACAAAUCUGAAGAGAUUCAAUUACAUAUGUGUGUGCAAUGCUAAUUGCUUUUAUUUUUCCUAAAUGCACAAAGACCAAAGUAGGAUGAUUUGACACUUUCCCCACACACUAUUUUACAUUGAGAAGAUUUUAAACUUAUCACCUUGAUUCUUCUCUUUACUUUUUGCUCCAAUAAUGAAUAAGAAAUUGGUACUAAGUGUGAAAGCUAAUAAGAGGAAUACCAUACAAAUGAAUGAGAAUUCAAACAUAAUAAUUCCAGGCUAUCAAGCAGUCUUAAAAGUGUUUCUAAAGUUUCUAUUGGCUAGAUAAGAAAUAAUCGAAAGUCUUAAAAUUUCAAAAUGAAUCUAGCUCAAAGAGCUGUCAAUCUCCACAUUAAUGUCACUGAUAGAAAUUUCAACACAACAAAAAAUUGAGAAUGGUUAAUAUUGCCCGAUUUAAGUUUGACAAAAAUGAAAAAUUACAUAAAUUAUAUUUUUUGUAGCAUUGAGACACAAAACCAAUUAAAAAAACUAAACUAGCGGUAGCCAAAACUACACACAGAAAAUGUUUCUGGCCAAAGAGAAGAAUUUAAAUGGUUUUGGAAAAUUUAGAUCUGUAUUGUUUGAAAAGAAGAAUUACCUUUAGAAAAGUAAUAAUCACAAAGGAAAAUUCCAAGCAUAAGCUAUAUUCAGUAGAACUUGACAUGGGUAAAAUGGAUUCAUGAAUCUAAUAGUUAUUGUAAAAAUUAAAUGAAAGUGAUGCUGCUAAACAUUAGUUCAGUAAAAUUAAAAUUAAAAUGGAAAAACUGCCAAGGAUUUCACUAGGUAAUAUAUAUAUAAUCAUCAGGGAAUUAAAUUGGUCUAAUGGAGUUUUUUUCCUCCAAAAUUUAUCUUUAAGGAAAACUCAUAAAUGUUGGUAUAUUCUAAUUAAAUAUUUGUUUUCAUAAAAGUUGAGCCAAAACAUACUUGGUAUCAAAUCACGGGUUCAGUAUAUUUUCUACCAAUAGGAGCUUUUAAAAGAGGAAUGGACAAAGGUAAGUUCUGCCUUUUACAAAGAUUAUCCUGGUAAUGGUGGGUAUGGACACAGUAAGGAUUGAAGGCAGGUGAGACUUCAGGAUAUUUUUACACUAAGAAAUCCCUGGCAAAGUAGAAGUGUGUGGAUUUACAAACUAUUUAGACUGUAGAAUCUGGAGAAGCCUGAAAAAUCUCUGAAAUAAAGAAUGCAAAGUUAAAAGAAUUCAAAGGCCUAUAAGGGAUUAUGCCUCUAUCACUUAACCUUAAACUAUCCCUUUAUCUGCUCACAGUGUCUGAAAGGAAGAGAUAUCAUUUGGAAUCAAGUUUAUGCUAAAAGGCUAUGUGCUCUGAUUUCAUGGGCUCACAUGAAAAAAUUUACUUCUCAGAGUAUCACAUAAUUUCAAAGCAUUUUCACAAAUAUUAUAACUUUUAAUGCUUACAACACUUUAUAGAUGAGGAAAUUGGGUCUCAAGGGUGAAAAUUGAUUUAGCUAAAAAUCACAAGAUUCAUAGAGUUAGAUUUUCAAAAUAUUUAUCACUACAGAUGUCAUGAUGUUUCCCAGCUUGGAGUGGUUUCUGCCUCAUUUUCUAUUAUGCUUAAUAUGUUUUAUCAGUAAAUUAUUAUAUUUUUCAUCAAGUGGAUGUGUUUAAAAUAUAGUGGCCACACUGUAUUGCCAUGAUAUUUAUUGUGAUUUUGAUAUUGUCUCUUAGCAUCAUUGUUAUUUGUAUAGGUUUCUCUAAACUAUCUCUUGAAUGACCACAGACAAAUUGUACUUUAAUUUAAAAUGCAGAGAAUGUCUUCUUGUCUAUCAGUGAUUUCUAUCAAGUUUGCUAUACCAGCUGUUCAUAUCCUAAUACGUAUGAGUGUGUUACCUGAGUUACCCUCAACUUUUGCCUUCUACUCCUACAUUAGCAAAUCCCUAUUUUGGAGGGUGGAUGGUUUUCUUCCAGGUAUGCAAAUUUUGAUUAUAUUCUUAAAUAAAUGAAUGAUGAUCAUUUAUACUUCAAUAUAAUUGCAUUGUAAUUACAGUUUUAUAAUAAAUACCCUGUAUAGUAGAAACUGAAGUUUCAGUUAGGUGGCUUUUUCCUUUCAGACACUUGACUCAUUUUUAGAGGAAAUAAAUAUUGAAUCUUUAAAUACUAUAGAGUUAAGCACCAUAGAAUAUAUUUGUUUAAGCUCGGUCUCUACUAAAAUCUCUAAUAAAAACUGAUAAUUUUGCUGAUUGUCUGUUAAGAAAUCAAUCAAUUGAAGGUACUAUGAAUGGAUAUAGAAGAUGCUUGUUUACUUCACUAAUAUUGACUUUAUGUGUAUUUAUUCUUGUCCUAGAUGAAAGAGUAGGAAAGCUUUUGUUUCUCUAUUUGUUCUUGUUUUUUGUUGUGAUUCCUGAACAUAUAAUUCUCUGCUUAUAGUAGUCAUUCCUAGACUCUUUUAACAGACUGAUAUUGAAGUAGCACACUGACAUACAAACAGGAAUGAAGAUUAAAUAUUUUAGACAAUAAUUAGAUAUUUUCUAAUAUAAAUAUUGGUUAGAGCCAGGUACACAAAAUCCAGUGAUUGCCAUAAUUUUUAUUCCUGUAUAUUUGGGUAUUAUAUAGAAAUAGGCAUCAAAUCAUAUUGCUAAAGUCUUGCCAUAUUUUUUUUCUGGUGUAUCAUAUCUUAAAAAGUGAGGUCUUUAUGUAUGCAAAAGUCAUAGCACUAAGCCUUUGGUAAAAGGCCACUGCUAUGGGAUUGAGUAUCUAGUACUUACAAAGAUAUUUAGACUAGACAGAAAUUAAUUUUAAACUGAAGAUAUGUUAAAUUUCCAUUCUAAUUGUUUCCCAUGUAAAUAACUACAUAAAUCUAUAAGAUGUCUAGAAAAAAAAAUCAAAGGUCAGCACUGAUGAAAAAUUUCUCUCUCUGCACCAAGGUGACAUAUACACACAUGGUCUGAAGAUGAAACCUUGCCUUUGUGAACAUUGUGUAUUUACCAAGAGAAUGAAUCAACCUCAGUACAAAUCUCUGCCCCUUACCUACUCAGAUUGACAUUCAUCACCACACUGUCUGUAAAGAAAUUAUUCCCAGCUCUCUACAAACUUUUGUCGUGCAAAUAAUGCAACACCUAGGGUGCACCAUAUUCCAUCUGCCCUUGCAAGCAAUCCCAGAGCACUAGCAUCAGUGUUCAAACCAGCAAUUGCCAUGACUGGACCUGAUCUGUUUGUGUUAUCACUCCGCUACAUUUGUAUUUCCCUCCCAUUCCUUGCUUUUUCUCCUAUGGGUAUGUGUAUCUGAAAAAUAAAAUUGACCCUCCAAAUUACAUUACCUAGAAUGUCCAAAGAGCAGAUCAAAGAAAAUUUAGGAAAAACAUUCUCAAACUAUGAACUUUUAGGAAGUCAGGAGGCUCUUUCCAGACGAGAGGUGAGAUAAGGAGAGUAAGAAAGGGAGCAAAGAAAAAACAAACAAACAAACAAACAAAAACAAAAAGGCAAGACUGUAAACAUCUAGAUCCAAAAUCAACUUAAUUUAAUCUGGACAAAAUAGUCCUGCUGUCUUCAUCCUCCCACUUCGCCUCUGGUUAAUUUUUUUAUCUCAUAUUCUCCCUCUUUUUGACUUCCCUCUUUGAAAAUUUUCCUUUCCUUUGUCACUACAAUAUGCAGUUUUAUUUUUUUAAUCUAUGAUUUAUUCAGUGUCUGGUGAAAAAUUAGGUAUGGGAACUAUGAGUUUAUGCCUUUUGUGUCUCCUAUACCUGAUUUCAUGUAGGUUACAAUGUCAAGAAAUCCACUAAUUCACAUGUCAUCAUCAUCAUCAAUCAUCAUCACAAAAAAGAGCAGAUUGAAAUGACUUGAAAAAUGCCAAGAAAAGGUGAUAAAAAGUGUGCAAUUCAAUGGAAAUAUUUUGUGGCAAAAGUGACAUAAGAGAACAUAAUAGAAGAAGUAGGAUUUGCCCAGAACCUUAAACACCUUGAGAAAGUAUAGAGGUGGGUGUUAAAACUACCUCCUGUUUGUUUUCUUUUAAUCAAUCAUAGAAGAAAAAGAAAGAAAAAAGAAAGAAAGAAAGAAAGAAA